ACCCGCUCCGCUCCGCCCCAGCGCGACCCCCCAUGAACCGCCAGAGCUGGCCCGCCCCUCCGCGGCUUCAGUUGGUUUAGGCGGCCCGUUCCCAACCCUACUCCGCCCCCGGCAAACCGCGGCCGGCGCCCCCGCCGCCGCCGCCGCCGCUGACCACCGCCUGCCGGCCAACCGCAGCCAGCGGCGACCUUGCCGUCACAAUUCCUUGCGGCGCCGCCAUUUCCCAGCCUCCGCCGCUCCUCCGCGCACGCCUCAACUCCGCUGCGCAACCACCGCCGUCCAACCCGCCGCCUGACCUACCUCGGUUGCGCAUUUCUGGGCUCCUAUUGUUCGGGUUUCUGGCUCCGUUGGAAGAUGCGAAAGGCUAAAGGACCGGAGCGGCGAGAUCCAAGGAAGAGGACAGGCAGGUUCUGGGAAACAUAUGCCGAGAUGACAGAAACGGAGCGAGGGAAGCGAAGAACCAAAUGUCCCAAUAUGUGGAUGCAAUGGCCGCGUUCGGGCGACAUGGUGCUUGCUGGAAGAAGAUUCCGGGAUGGUGUUUGCCGGAAUAGUUGGUCUGGUGGCACUGCUGCUCGGCCACGGAGCAGUCGGCCAUUGAAGGUGGUCACGCCGAUGUGGCCAUUGCUCAAUUCACCUUUCUUCACUGCAGAUAUUUGUAUUAUCCUAGUUACUGCUCGCCAUAAGGAACUGAUAAGACGGAGAAGGGUCUGGCAAAUUGCAUUUGAAGAUCAAGAAAAGAUAUAUUCAAAAUUUGCGGAAGGGACGCUGUUGAGAAGUGCAAAGGCUUUGCCAUUGGCAACCAGGACACCAAAUAAAGAAAUGCUCAGAAGCCCUGGAAAAUGAGCUUCAGGACAUGAAGAAGUCAUGCAGUGGGAUUAUGCGGGUGCUUAACAUGAGUUUCCAGCGCAUGUCUUUGUACUUUGAAUGGUGUUCCAUUGCCCUGUCAACUGUCAUUAAAGACGCUCAUUGUCCUAUUGUUCCCUCAAGAAAACUCACUUGUAAAUAUGAGAUACCAUACUGUGCACAGCUCCCUUUUCCCUACAACAGAGUCCAAACUUGCUCUCAGUGCUUUUGUGUAAUCACUCAGUUACUAGAUGUGCUCCAUUGACAACUUGCAUGGUAUGUCCCAUUGCUCUUUAAAUGGCAUAAUAUUAGAUUCUGUAUGAAAUGGCCAAUGGCCUAUUUUUACAAGUAUAUUUUGCAUUAUGAUCAUAUAUCAGCGAGCUAACAGUGUUUUUUGUUUAACCUCUAUGGUUCAUAUACAAAUUUUCGUUUCAAUUGACUGGGCAUACAUUCAACCAGUCUUGCUCCUAAGUUCCUUUUUCUGUUCACUUCAUGUAUGGGCCCUUCAUUUUUACACUAUAAUAACAAUGUACUAAAAUGGGCCUGAAUAAUGCAAUUGGUGAAAGGCAAGUAUUUUCCAUCUGUAUUAUUGUGCCUGAACCUUGAACUUAUUUCUUUCGGGUUUCAUCUCUAGCCUACCCCAACUUGCUUGGGAAAAAAGGCUAUGUUGUUGUUGUUGUUGUAUUAUUGUGCUGCAUAUAUUUUGUCUGACCAAUUGUUUGUUGAUCUCAUCUGAUAAGUGAUUGGAAGUUUCUUAUGGCUACUAACACUUAUAUUUGCUUUAUGCAUGUAUGUGUUUAAUUUGCAUGUCUCAUGUAUUGUAUCAUGAAUUUUCCCUUCUUUUUUAUUGAUACAAAAAGUGAAAUGAAUAGCACUGGAAUUGUAUGAAUAGACUUCAUAGUGCCUGUGACUGCCAUAUUCCUUGUUAAUUUAUUAAGGAAUGUGUUUUUUUGCUCCAUGAGAAAGCAAUGGUUACACAUCAAACAGUACAGGGGCACAACCAACAAAAGAUAAUUCUAGCUAAUAACAAAUUCUUAUCCUUGGAAAUAUUAUUCUGGAGAAAAGGUAUCCCUGUUGGUGAGAAUAAAGCUUCUUACUCCUUAUGCUAGGAAUUUUGAAUUAGAUCUAACUGAAGCUGCAUGAACUGAUCAACUAUGUCUUGCUAUCAGCAUGCAGAACAUCAGCAACCGAUAGAAAACCAAAGAAAUGACCAUACAUAUAUGAGAAAUAUGCAGCAAUGCAAUAAAGUAACCUGAUAAUUGCGUUACAGUAACUCACAUCCUGCUAAGUGUUUCCACCUGUAGGCAAUUUAUUCAUCAGCUAAAAGUAGCAUCUGUACUAUAGAUUCCAUAGUUGGCCUUUUGUUCCUGUCUUCAUCCAAGCAUGAGACAGACAAUCUGAUCAGUGUCUUUACCUGCAUGUAGUUGAAUUGUCCGUUCAGCCUGCAAUCCACAACCUCAGCGAUUGAAGAGGGUUCCUCUCUAUCCAACAUAUCAGCAAGCGUUCCUACAAGCUUCCUGAGCACCCUAUGCACCUCUUCAUCAGCACCUACAGCCAGGUCGAGAACUCGUUUACCCAACAGUAGCUCAAGAAGCAAAACCCCAUAGCUAUACACGUCAACUUUGGCCGUGAUCUUAAGGCUGCUGAUCCACUCUGGAGCGAUAUAGCCUAUGGUUCCUCGCACUCGUGACACAUUCUGAUCGGUUCCACCUCUGUUCAACAGUUUCGCCAACCCAAAGUCGGCAAUCUUGGGUUCUAGAUUCUGAUCCAAGAGUAUGUUCUCCGGUUUCACGUCACAGUGUAUUACCCACUCAAGACAUUCAUGGUGAAGAUAAGCCAAACCCUUCGCUACACCUAAUGCAAUAUUAAACCUCUGCCUCCAUUCUAGCAGAAUGUUUUCCUUGAAUAGGAUGUUAGCUAAUGAUCCGUUCUCAAUAUACUCAGUGACUAACAUUCUGUGGCAGCUUUCAGAGCAAAACCCCCAUAUCCUUACUAGAUUCAUAUGAUUGAUUCUACCAAUUAUGCGCAAUUCUGCUUGAAACUCCUCCUCGCCUUGCCUUACAUUCUCCAGCGUCUUAACAGCCACUCCUCGACGGUCAUCCAACAUUCCCUUGUAGACAAUCCCUGAGCCUCCUCUUCCAAGCUCUUCUUUGAAUUUUCCAGUUGCCUUCACCAACUCUUUAUAACUGUAUCUUCUGAAAUUACUAGCCAUCCUGUACCUUUCUUCGACAGCCUGUAUUUCUGAUGCUCCCAACUCCUUUCUCAAAACAAAGCACCAUACAGAGACAAUGAAGAAAACUUCAAGAACAAAAAUUGCACCUGCAAACCCGUACAAGUAAAACCAUUUUGCUUCCCCCUGACUGGCCUUGUGAAUCUCUGGAAAUGUGCUCAUCUGUCUGCAAUCAGGAUGGUACUUUCUUGAAACAAGAAAAUCAAUUCGGGGAACAGAGAUGCCUGAAAUAUUAACACUCAUGUGGAGCUUGAGAUACAUGGUGCGAUAUGACUCAUUAGGCGUGUAUGCCUUCCCGCUGAAAAGGAAAGACUUUAGAUAGCAUGACCCUGUUCCUUGCCAGUACACAAAGCCUUUGCAGGUGCAGUCCAUCCAACAUAUGUUCUUGCAAGCCUCCAAGGAUACAGAAUUAAGAUGCAGCUGAUCAGAUCCCCAAAAGUCGGUGCCUGGAAGUCGCACGAACUGGACAGGUUGCACUUGGUCAACGGCACAGCUAAUGUACAUCCUUGGCUCCAGUUCCCAGGGUUGUUCAUCACAUAACCGGGUGGGCAAGAGCAUGUAGGUGCAGGCAAGUAGCGGCAGAUCCCAUUUGGACCACACAAGCCAUGAAUAUUGCAGGGCUGAGACAUUGCAGUCCAUGAAACCGACCAUCUCCCAUCUGAACUGUCCAUGCUGUAGAGCCGGAGAUUGCCAUCCGGAUCCAGAGUGAGCCUUCUUUUGAUCCCAAGACCUUGAUCAGAGGCAACAAGUGCUUGCUGGUUGGCAAAAUCACUGGAAAAGAAAAUUCCGGUAUCAUCUAGACCCCCAAACAUUGUCAUGUUAUACUGAAUCCUGUUAUUCUGAUACAACGUAUUGUCAGGGUUUGGCCAAUAUAUUUCAUGAACAUCGGCAUCAUCAUAUAAAAGGGACAAUAUCGACGAGUCCGUGUAAUGGAAUAUGAAGUGACCUGGGACAUGCAAUCCAGUGGUGGGGACCAGCUUCGUGGUUGCAGUUAUGCGCUGGCCGGGCAGCAGGGUGUCUGUUGGUGAAUCGAAGCUCUGCCAAACAAUAAUGCCGGCGGAGUUCGGUGGUUUGGUUACAGGGACUUUUUUUAGUCCCUGAAACUUUUUAGUAUUUAGAAGUAUUAAAUAAAAUUUAAUUAUAAAACUAACUGCAGAACCCUGGGGCUAAAUUGCGAAACGAAUCUAAUGAGGUAUAUUAAUAUAUGAUUAGCGGAUGAUAUUGUAGCUUCACUGUAGCAAAUUAUGAAUUAAUUAGGCUCAUUAGAUUCGUCUCGCGAAUUAGCACUCAGCUGUCAUUCCUGUCAAAAAACAUUUAUAAACAGAUUUUAUUUAAUACUAUAAAAUAUAAUAUUCUUUUUAAUGUGAUAGGGACUUCUGAAAAAAGUUUGGAACAGAGCCGACAAGGUUCCCGGUGUGCAGGAGCUGAGCAUACUGCACGCCUACUGAGUUGUCGCCUUGGGCCUUCCACACCACCACACCGUCGUAGUCCAUGAGGACCAGGGCGCUGCCUUUCUUCAGGGUGACUGCCGCCCCCCUGGCAUGCACGGGGCGGCCGCGGUUUGCUGUCCAGACGACGGUCUUGCUUGAGUGAGUGUACCAUAUCGAGAAGGUGAAGGCGUUGGUGUAGAUGCUGUUGAAGCCGCAGGUGAAAGUGCCGUCCCGCGAACGCAGGAUGUCCGUCUGGUACUUGUCGACGGAGAGCGAGGAUCCCAGCAGUAGGGUGUCUCGAGGCGCAGCACUUGAGAGGAGGGGAUGCAGUGAUAAUAGGAAUGGAAGAAUGGCGAGGGAUGUUGCCAUGGCUGAAGUCUGAACAGAUGGUAGGGCUGAUGAGAGGGCUGCUUCUCAGGUUCUCUUAUGCCCAAGCUGCACAUCUCAAGUCUCCUCUCAUGCGAUAUCCGCGAGCACGGAGGGUAGGCGUUCAGGAUCACAGCCAUAUUCAAAGCUGUUCCUCAUGUUUAACAUGGUUGACUGGAGUCAAUGAGAAGGCAGGUUUUCGAAGGGGGGAAUGCACAUGGCUUUAGCUUCUGCCCCUGGUCAAAUUUGGACAGCUACUCAUGGGGACUCUGACAGAGACUGAUGUGAGUUUUCCAAACGGAUGGGUUUCAAUUUGGAGUCGUUGCAGUCAAGGUCAAC